rnacentral:lncRNA from 1 species
AGAGAAUAAGCUGCAAUCGUUACGAGGUGGAUCGACGUGUUUUUGUAAGUGUAGUAGUUGCGUACACAUCGUGGUCUUACUAGGCACGUCGACUACACUGGCGUUCAAAGGGUAACUUAUGGUCUGAAGUAACGUGAGCACCCACGUUACAGCACGUAUACGUCAGUAUUUUCUUAGUGAAGUGCACUUUACGGUGCGAUUAUGUGAACAUCAUACAGUAACUUUCGUUUGCGUAUUCCUCCGGGGUCGAGAAACGCUUGA